CCUAGUGCUUGUACAUGGUAGUCAAGUACUCUACUACUGAGUUACAUCCCCGACCAUUUUAAAGUUUGGUUUUUUCAGAUAAGAGUCUUGUUAAAAACGUUGCCUGAUCUGGUAAACUUGAAAUCUUUCAGCCUAGUCUCCCAAGUAGCUGGAAUUACAGGUAUGUACCACCAAGGUCAGCUAUUUACUUUUUAUAUCCUAAGCAAGAUCUUGUCUUCUAUAAUAUUUUUAAACCGGAUUUUAGUUUAUGUAUGAGAAGGCUGUUGAUUUUUGUAUGUUAACUUUACAAAUUCCUUUGCAAAAUUUUUUCCUUUGUUUGUAGUAGCCCAAGUUGGAUUUGAAUCUGACUCUGGUAUCUCUUGAGACUAUAGUCAGGCUAUUUUGAGUAUCUUAAUCAGUUUGGACUGCUAUAAUAAAGUACUAUAGAUUGAGUAGCUUGUAAACAAUGGAAAUUUAUUUCUCACAAUUCUGGAGGCUGGAAGUCUAAGAUUAGAUUGUGAGCAUGAUAAGGUUCUGUAGAGCGCUCUCUUUGGAGUUGUAGAAUGCUCACGUCUAGUGUCCUUACCUAGUAGAAAGAAUGAGCUAACUCUGGGUUCCUUUUGUAAGGGCACUAUUCCCAUUCAUGAAGGCUCCGCUCUCAGGAUUUCAUCUAAUCCAAAGUACCUCCCAGAAGCCCCAUCUCCCAAUACCAUUAUUUUGGGGGCUAGGGUUUUAAUAUAUAAUUUUUUAGGGGCAAGAAAUGAUUAGCUUAUAACAGUGGGGUGUCUUCCUCAUCUCUAAAAAUGCAGAUAAAAAAACGAAACUCAAAAAUGAUGGUGAGUGCCAUGAAGUGACACCCAAAAUUCACGUAUUGAAGAUUCAAUCUCCAGUGUAGUAGUGUUCAAAGGUGGGGCUUAGAGAGCUGAGUGGAUUGUGAGGGAAUUAACCUCAUCAAUUGUUUAAUCCAUUGAUGAAGUUGUAGUUGAAUGGGCUGCUAGGGGCUGGCACAGUUGGAGGUAGUAGGUCACUAGGAGGCAUGCCUUUGAAGAGUACGACCUGUCCCCAGUCCCUGCCUCCAUUUCCGACUCUUUCAGUUAGCUCCCUGACUGCCAUAAUUGAGUAGCUUUUUUCUACCAAGCCCAUGGAUUGAAUCUCUGAAGCUAUGAGGCAAAAUAAAAUUUUCUCUCCUUUAAAUUGUGUAUGUCAGAUAUUUUGUCCCUUUAACAGAAUGAUGACUAAUGAACAUAAUAGUUGAGAUUAUAUAAUAAAAGAGCUAAUAUUUCACUUGCCACAUAGUAGGCAAUCAAUUACCAGUAUCCAUUAAUAGUGUAUUGUAAUGUGAUAUGAUGUGAUAUCAUUAUUUUCUUCUUGAAGUAUAGCUUAUGUGCUGUGCUAUUGAACUAUUGAAAAUUGAUCAUAGCAGUUUUUACCAAGAGUAGAGUGAAUUUAACAAAUUUUUAAAAUUUUCAUGAUAAGCAUUUGUAAUAAACAUUUAUUUUAUUUAUUUUUUUUUGGUUUUUUGAGGCAGGAUUUCCUUUGUAGUUCAGGCUGUCCCUGAACUCACUGUGUAGCCCAGGCUGGCCUCAAACUGGAAGCAAUCCUCCUGCCUCAGCCUCCUGAGUGCUGGUAUUACAGGCAUGCACCACCAUGCUUGGCUUGUAAUAAGCAUUUAAAUACCAAUAACUAAAGAAUAAUUCUGAGAUUAUAUGGUUUUUGUGGCUUUGCACAUACAUUUCCAUUACUUCUCAUUUAAUUAUGAUUUUUACAUGCAAAGUUUCUUACCUCUGUAGAGUAUCUGGAAAGAACUUCUAGAUCACCCACAGUGAUUAUUCAAGGCGUUUCUUAGAGUGUAUUGAUUUCAGCACUUGUUAACUGUGUAAGUGGAUAUGAGGAUUUCAAGUCCUGCAAUCCUUUGCAUCCUAACUCAAGAAUCUGACAACUUUAACCAUACUUUCUUGGUAAAUAGUAUACUUGUAAAUGAGUUCAUGUGAGUUAAAUAUUUAAUAUAUAUGAACUCAUGAUGAUAAUGAUCUUAGCAGAUUAAUGUUUUCUGUCCUAUUAUAUAAGAUCUGUUGAUAAAAUUAAUGACAAAACAAUGAGGAAGUCUAAUGACUUUAAAGCUUGUACUAUAAAUUACUACAAUGGAUAUUAUCUUUGCAAAUGCAUUCUUUUAAUUCAUUUGAGAUAAUCUAUUGCUUGAAAAUAAGAAUUCCAGAAAUUUAGAAUUCAUCUUAUUCCUACCUCAUGAUUGUGUUGUGAGGCUAUGCACUUAGGGCACAUACUAAGGUGCCUAGCUCAUGAUAAAAGCUUGAUGAAUAUCAGUUGAUUUUAUUCUUACCAUUUAUCUACAAAAUGUUGCUCAAAAUAGUACCUACUAUAUAAGGUUAUCCUGAGGAUUAAAUGAUUUGUCUUAUACUGCAGUUAGAGAAAUAAUAUAGUUAUCUAGAGAUCCUGAUUUCAGAUGUUUUGAGUAAGUGCCCAGAAGAAUUCUAAACAUGUAAUAUUUCUAUUAUUAGUUUUGAGGAAGCUCCAUACUGUCUUCCUUAGGGACUGUACCAUUUGGCACUCAUAUCAACAGAGCACAGAAGUUCCAACUUCUCUACAUCAUCACCAACACCUGGCUUUUAAAAAGAAAUUAGUAGUAGGCCAGGAUUUAGCUCAGUGGUUCUACAGCCUCCCUCACAAACGCAAGGUCCAGAGUUUUAUCCCCGCUCCCAAAAAAGGAGAAAAAAGAAAUUAGUAGCUGUCCUGACAGAUGUUAGGUGAUACUUUGUUGUGGCUUUCCUUGCUUUACCAUGAUGAUUAGUAGAUAGAUUAGAUGAUAAUAAAGAUUUUUUUCAUAUACUCAUUGGCCAUUUGUUUGUCUUCUGUAGAGAAAUGACUGUUGAAAUAUCUCAAUUUGUUUGGACUGCUAUUACAAAAUACUUUAAACUGGGUAAUUUGUGAACAAUAUAAAUUUACUGUACACAGUACUGGAGGCUAGAAAGUUCGACAAAGUUCUGGAAGAUUCAAUGUCUGUUUGUUUUCAUCCACCAUUAUUCGAAUAAGGAUCUUGAAUAAAUAUGAACACUCACAUUAUUGUAAUAUUGUUGACAAUAACCAAGAUAUGAGGAAAACCCAAAUGUUCUACAGAUGAAUGGAUAAAGAAAACAUUAUACAUACAUACAAUGGAGUAUUAUUCAUCCUUAGAAGAGAGGUAAAUUCUAUAAUAUAGGACAACAUGGAUAAAACUUGAGGAUGUUAUGCUGACUAAAAUAUGCCAAUCACAGAAAGACAAAUACUAUCUGAUUCCACUUUUAAGACAUACACAAAUAGUCAAAUUCAUUGAAUAAAAGAGUAGAAUGGUGGUUCCAGCGAUUUGAAUUGAGCAGGAAAUGGGGUUACUAAUCAAUGGGCAAAAUGUUUCAGUUAAGCAAAAUGAAUUAAGUUUUAGAGUUCUGCUGUAUCAUAUAUAAUAAUCAAUGCUGUACACUUAAAAAUAUCAUACACUUAAAUAUUUGCUAAGAGGGUAGUUAAAUGCUUUUAUUAAAAUAAAGCAAAUAAAAUAUAGAAAGUCCUCAAUAAAUGUUAAUUAACAUUAGUGUGAUUGUUAGACAAAAGGGAAUGAAGCUAAUCCCAUAAUAAUAAACCCAAAGUAAUACUAUAUAUAAAGGAUGAUAACAUUAUUUUUGUUGUGGCUAGGGCAGUGGGAUUGGGGGAGCUUUAGUCAAUACUAUUUGAAGCAAACCUUAAAAUACGAUUUCUGUAGGUGAGAAAAAAAUAGAAGAGAAGUGGAUGUAAAAAAGAAAACUUCCAGGGACUUUGCAGUCAUAAAGAUUCAUAUCUAAAGUCCUGCUCCACUUCUUAUUAGUUGUGUGACCCUGGAUAAAAAUAGGCCCUGUUUGUAUUCUUGAGUCAUGGUCUGCUAAUUCUUUCUAGGCAGUAAACUACAGCAAUAGUGAGAAUAAAUUCAUUGUUUUACUUGUCUGAGAGAUUGCUGUCCUGUGCUGCCUGCUGUUCAUUGGAUGUAAAUCAAUAUUUUAUGUAUUUUAUCUAGUUUUUUGGUUAAGGCGGGAGACUAUAAACCCUGUUUCUGUUCCUCCAUCAAUUUCAAAAGCAGAAAGUCAGUAGAUUACUAUUAGUUUUACUUUUCUCAUUGGUGAAUUUGAAACUUAUUUGUUUCUCUUAGCACCUUGUAGUUGUUACUUUUUUGUUCUCAUUAUACUGCAUUAUAAUUAUUACUUUACUUAUAGUACUGCUUCCUCACUACUCUGGAUUUUUAGACAACAGUGACUAUGUCUGUUUCAUUUUUACCCUUAUUACCCACCCAUUGUCAAGUUUUGAGUCUGGAAAAUAUAAAGAAAGUUAAUGAAUAUUUUUUUAUAUUUAAUUUCUGUGGAUUGUAGCUGAGUGCCAUACAGUGGAAGACUUUGAAUACUGCACUGGAGUUACCCUUUUAUUCACUGCACAAGAACAGGAGGGAUGGGAAACUUUUUAAAAAAUAAGCUUUAGAAAAAAUAACUCUAGAAGCAUGAAAAUUGAUAGGGACUACUAGAGGUUGAAAAUAGACUAUCUAGAAUUCUGCUUUUCAGAUCUGCUUUUAUAGAUGCACUAGAAGCAUAAAGACAGAUGAAAGGUAUUAGUGAUUGAAAUUUAGGGGUUGAGGAUAUAACUGUGGGAAUGGGCAGGGAAUAUUGCUGGUUUUGGUAAUUGAUUAGAUGGCUAUAACUGAAAGGAAAAGUGAGAAAAAUGAUGGCACAGAUUUUUACCAAUGAUUGACAAAAUCCUUAGAAUGAAUUGUUAGGUUCUUUUGUCAUCUUUAGCACAUAAAUGACCAAUUUUAUGAUAAAAAUUUGAGAACAAAAUUUCAAUAUGUAAAGAAAUAAAUAGUG
ensembl:lncRNA